rnacentral:rRNA from 2 species
UUCGACCUCAGAGCAGGUGAGACUACCCGCUGAAUUUAAGCAUAUUACUAAGCGGAGGAAAAGAAACUAACUAGGAUUCCCUCAGUAGCUGCGAGCGAACAGGGAAGAGCCCAGCACCGAAUCCCGCGGCCGAUACCGGACGCCGGGAAAUGUGGUGUUAGGGAGGGUCCAUUAUCCCGAGAUCAUGCGGUGCGUCCAAGUCCUUCUUGAACGGGGCCACAGCCCAUAGAGGGUGCCAGGCCCGUAGUGACCGCUGCUGAUCGCGGGAGG